AGCAGCCGCGGUAAUUCCAGCUCCAAUAGCGUAUAUUAAAGUUGUUGCAGUUAAAAAGCUCGUAGUUGAAUUUCGGGGUCAGUAAGUUGGUCGUGCCACUGGUAUGUACUGGCUUCACUGAUUCCUCCCUCUUGUAGAACCGUAAUGCCAUUAAUUUGGUGUUGCGGGGAAACAGGACUGUUACUUUGAAAAAAUUAGAGUGUUUAAAGCAGGCUAACGCUUGAAUACAUUAGCAUGGAAUAAUGAAAUAGGACGAUCGAUCCUAUUUUGUUGGUUUCUAGGAUUGACGUAAUGAUUAAUAGGGAUAGUUGGGGGCAUUAGUAUUCAAUUGUCAGAGGUGAAAUUCUUGGAUUUAUUGAAGACUAACUACUGCGAAAGCAUUUGCCAAGGAUGUUUUCAUUAAUCAAGAACGAAAGUUAGGGGAUCGAAGACGAUCAGAUACCGUCGUAGUCUUAACCAUAAACUAUGCCGACUAGGGAUCGGAUGAUGUUAAUUUUUAAUGACUCAUUCGGCGCCUUAC
rnacentral:rRNA from 1 species